rnacentral:rRNA from 1 species
GAUGAACGCUGGCGGCGUGCCUAAUACAUGCAAGUCGAGCGGACGGACGAGAAGCUUGCUUCUCUGAUGUUAGCGGCGGACGGGUGAGUAACACGUGGAUAACCUACCUAUCAGACUGGGAUAACUUCGGGAAACCGGAGCUAAUACCGGAUAAUAUUUUGAACCGCAUGGUGCAAAAGUGAAAGACGGUCUUGCUGUCACUUAUAGAUGGAUCCGCGCUGCAUUAGCUAGUUGGUAAGGUAACGGCUUACCAAGGCAACGAGGCAUAGCCGACCUGAGAGGGUGAUCGGCCACACUGGAACUGAGACACGGUCCAGACUCCUACGGGAGGCAGCAGUAGGGAAUCUUCCGCAAUGGGCGAAAGCCUGACGGAGCAACGCCGCGUGAGUGAUGAAGGUCUUCGGAUCGUAAAACUCUGUUAUUAGGGAAGAACAGAUGUGUAAGUAACUGUGCACAUAUUGACGGUACCUAAUCAGAAAGCCACGGCUAACUACGUG